GACUUGGUAGCUCAGCUGGUAGAGCACAUCACUUUUAAUGAUGGGGUCCUGGGUUCGAAUCCCAGCCAGGUCACUA
rnacentral:tRNA from 2 species